ACCAAGGAGCUGGUGUAGUACCCAGGGGGCCUGCCUCCUGACCGGGCUCUGCCAUAACGGUGGGCAUUAGCUACGUCUCUCCGAACUGCAGGUGUCUCUUGAAAGUCCCUUCUAUCCUCAAAAACAUGAUAAGAUGCCUUUUUGCUCCACUACCCCCAAUCUGAUGGUUCCAGGCUCCUGGCUCAGUAAUGAUGGUGUCUGAGAACUGGCAGCUGCACCAAUGCUUUCCUCAGGUCUUGAUCUCAGGGUUGUGGCACAGAAGGAAGAGCCCAGAACCUGGAAGAGGGGCAGCUGGGAUGGAUGAUCCUUGCUUAGAGAUUGCCCUCCCGCAGGACCUGGGUCUUGUGUUGGUUUUUAGGAAACAGGUGACAGACAUCAUCAUCUCUAAAAAGAGAUAGCAAAAGGUAACUGAAAUAAUCCUCCAAUAGACUUUCUUUGUAUGCCAAAUCUCAAUACAGCUGAUUAUUCUCCA